rnacentral:rRNA from 1 species
AUGGCAGACAGCGGGCAGUUCGUGGUCACCAUUGGUCUGACAAACAUCAACACCACGAGGCAAGAUCCCAUCAAUGUCGCGUCCAGCAGAAAUUUGUUACCCUCUAGCCAUGUAUCCAGCUCCAGCAACAAUGAUGAUUUUGAGCUAUUGUGGAGACAUCGGGGAUCGUGGACACUAAACAAGGAUGGUCAUCAUGCUGGUGACCCUGUCAUGCAUGAUGGCUUUUCUGAACGAUAUGAGGUGUUCUUUUACUGCAAUGCAGCAGCCUUCGCUGCAUCUCUUGUCUUAAUCAUCUUGCUUCUCAGUAAGAGUGUGACAAGGAAGAGGAUGUGGCUCCACUCAAUGCAAUUAACCAUGAUAUUAGACCUAUUCAGCCUGCUGGGGGCUUAUGCUGCCGGAAGUUUCAGGGCACUCAAAUCAUCCAUUUACAUCUGGGUUCUAGUCCUUGCUGUUAUCAUAUAUGUUGGGAUCCAUACCCUAGUAUCCACAAGGUUUAUUCCAAGAAAAUUGAGACGGAAUCUGCAGAACAUGAUAAAUACAGUUCUAAUCAAACAGGGUUUCCUUGUGAGGCAAGUGAGCAUCCCUUUAGAGAACGUUGAGGAGGCUCGCAAGUUCAUUUUGAUGCUUGUAACUUUUGCUGCUACUAUCACAUACCAAGCAGGAUUGAAUCCACCGGGCGGCUUUUGGGCUGAAAAUGACAGUGGUUCUAAUAAGCUGCAUUUGGCCCUUCCUCUUUACAAUCAUCAUCCGGCUACUUCUGUUCUCCAGAGUAACUACCUUCGUCGUUAUAAUAUAUUUAUCACUUCCAAUUCAACUUCCUUCGUGACAUCUUUGGUCAUAAUCAUACUACUUCUGAGCCCAAAAUUGAGUGGACAUGGAAUAAGGACCAAAGCAAUGAUUGUAUGUGUGGUAGUGGACCUAUUGUGCCUAAUUGUUGCAUAUGCUGCAGGAUGUUGUAGAGAGGUAGCAACAUCAUUCUAUGUGGUGUUUAUCAUCGUCAUAGUUUGGAUCUCCUUUGCAAUUUUAGCUGGAUUCUUUGUUACCAGGCCUGUAGCAAAUUGGCUAAAAAAUGUCAAAUCAAGCAGCCUGUGGUGUGUGAGAAAAUUGGGCCGUGCACUUUCAUUGAGCUUUCGUGGCCACAAAUCGCGCAAUGCAGAGCAGGACAAUUCUUACGCAAGCAAUCAUCAAUCUUCAGUCCGUUCAACUGAUGCACCUGCAGAAGAUAAUACUGCUGAACCACAAGACCAGACUGCAGAGGAACUUCCAAAUAUCAGAGAGGAUGUCUCCUAUAAGGAGCAUGCACCUGUAGAAGAAAGAAAUCAAAUUUCAGAUGAUAAAGAGGCUGUGAAUAACUCACAGCAUCUGUCAGGGAACAGCCAGCAAUCAGCAAAUAUCCAGGAUGUUGCGUCCAACACAGAGUGCCAUUCUCCAGAUGUCCAGAACGUUGCAGAAAUGGAUGAGGAUGUGUCCAGCUCACCACAUCCUGCUGGGAACUGUCAACGAUCAGAACAUGGCAUGGGUGUCGUGUCUAACAUGCAGUACGGGUCUACAGAAGGCAAGCAAGAUGCAAAUAUGGAGGCAGCUAAAUCUAGCACCGAGCAAGAUGAUGACCAUCCUAUACAUUCUGAGAAUGUACAUACUGACAGCAAUCAAGUACCCAAUCAAAAUGCUGAUGACAUUCGAACUGAGAAGCAUCUGAAGAAGACCCGCACAUGUAUGCUGCUUCUUGCCAUUCUUGCAGUAUCUCUGGCAUACCAAUCAGGCCUGAAUCCACCAGGUGGAUUUUGGUCAAGAAGUACAGAUCAUCAUUCAGCUGCUGAUCGCAUCCUUGAGGACACCCACCAUCGCCGGUUCAUUGCAUUCUUCUAUCUCAAUGCAAUCGCCUUUGUGGCAUCCAUUGUCAUGAUCACUUUGCUCUUGAACAAGAUGGCGAGCGACAAGGUUACCAAACGGCGUGCAUUGCCAAUAACGAUGAUAGUGGUCCUACUUUCCCUAACCAGAGGUUUUGCUCUAGGGAACUGCAGGGAGGCAAAGAAGACUAUUUUCAUAUCAGUGCUCGUAUGUAGUGUACUUGCUUAUGUUCUCAUUCAUGUCUUGAUAGCAAUACAUAUAAUUCCUCCAGAAUGGAGAAGGCAGGUGGCGGAGAUGCUAGAGCACUCAGUUAGUCAUUUUUGCUCAGUGCCGUGUCAAUUUGGCCACAACCAUACUGGGGGUGAUACUAGUGAGGAGUUGGGAAGGCGGCGUAAUCUGCUAUUGACCAUUGCUAUUUUGGCUGUGACUGUCACAUACCAAGCUGGCAUGAACCCUCCAGGAGGUGUCUGGUCUGAUGCCACGGGAACUCCGGGCAAUCCAAUCCUUCAGGAUACCCAUCCAAAACGCUAUGAUGUGUUCUACUACUCAAAUUCAGUUUCAUUUGUGUCUUCUGUGGUCGUCACAAUAUUACUUGUGAAUAAGGAAUCCUGUGAGUAUGGAAUCAAGUCAUAUGCACUGCGAGUGUGUUUGGUGGCGGGCUUGCUUGGCCUCCUCAUUGCGUAUGUUGCAGGAAGUUGCAGAAAUAUUAAACAGUCCAUAUAUCUGAGCACCAUUGCUAUGGGAGUUCUAGUCUCCCUUCUGAUUCAAGUUCUGCUCUCUUCGAUGCAUGAUACACUAGGAAAACCAUUGGCUAAGUGUCUAGGAUUUCUACACGAUCUUCUCUUCCAUGCAGAGGGUGAACAAGUAAACACUCCUGUGAGUCCAGAAGCUUCAGUUGACGUGAGGUCAGAAGCUUCAGUUGAGGUGAGGCCAGAAGCUUCAGUUGUCGAAGAAGAAAAGGUGGGAAAGAGACACAAGUAUCUGAUGCUUCUUGCAAUUUUAGCAGCAUCGAUCGCAUACCAAGCUGGUCUGAACCCACCUGGUGGAUUUUGGUCUGAUGAUAAGGGCCAUGUACCAGGCAAUCCCGUCCUUCGUGAUAUUAAUCACCGACGGUUCAAGAUCUUCUUCUGGUUCAAUUCUUUCGCAUUCAUGGCAUCAAUUGUCGUGAUCAUGCUGCUGCUGAGUAAAUCUAUCAGGAAGAAGGCUGUGCCAAUUGGGGUAUUGCACUUGAUCAUGAUACUGGAUAUGUUGGCUCUCAUGACAGCUUUUGCUGCGGGGAGCUGCCGCAAAUUGAGGACUUCAGUGUAUGUCUAUGCACUAGUUGGCUGUGUUGUAGUAAUCCUGCUGCUCCUAAUUAUUGUGACAAGUGCAAUUGCAAAAUAUCGGAAGCCAAGAGAGGGAAGUGGGAUUAACUCCCCGAGACGUCCUGAACCUGUUUUAGGAGCAAACACACCGGCACGACCUGAAGUUUGA